rnacentral:rRNA from 1 species
AAGUUUCUUCGGAAAUGAAUUAGCGGCGAACGGGUGAGGAACACGUGAAGAAUCUGCCCUCCACUUUAGGAUAACACCGGGAAACCGGUGCUAAUACCGAAUAUUGAAACAUAAGUGGCAUCACUGAGUUGUGAAAGAAUUUCGGUGGAGGAUGACUUCGCGGCCUAUCAGGUAGUUGGUGAGGUAAUGGCUCACCAAGGCAACGACGGGUAGCCGGCCUGAGAGGGCGACCGGCCACACUGGGACUGAGACACGGCCCAGACUCCUACGGGAGGCAGCAGUGGGGAAUAUUGGGCAAUGGAGGAAACUCUGACCCAGCGACGCCGCGUGCGGGAUGAAGGCCUUCGGGUUGUAAACCGCUUUCAGUAGGGAAGAAGCGAAAGUGACGGUACCUACAAAAGAAGCACCGGCUAACUAUGUGCCAGCAGCCGCGGUAAUACAUAGGGUGCAAGCGUUGUCCGGAAUUAUUGGGCGUAAAGAGCUCGUAGGUCGUUUGUUACGUCGGAUGUGAAAACCUGAGGCUCAACCUCAGGCCUGCAUUCGAUACGGGCAAACUAGAGUUUGGUAGGGGAGACUGGAAUUCCUGGUGUAGCGGUGGAAUGCGCAGAUAUCAGGAGGAACACCAAUGGCGAAGGCAGGUCUCUGGGGCCAAUACUGACACUGAGGAGCGAAAGUCUGGGGAGCGAACAGGAUUAGAUACCCUGGUAGUCCAGACCGUAAACGGUGGGCACUAGUUGUGGGACCUUCCACGGUUUCUGCGACGCAGCUAACGCAUUAAGUGCCCCGCCUGGGGAGUACGAUCGCAAGAU